rnacentral:lncRNA from 1 species
GGAUGGCGCAGCACCAGCGGGGAGCAGAGGGGACCCCCCCGGUGCCACCGUCACUGCGGCCGGUGCAGGGCGUCCCUGCGUGUCCCCGUCACGGUGGUGUGGAUGCCCUGGCGUGCUGCGGAGGGGAGCGGGAGCCAUCCCCGAGGCCAGCCCCAGCGGGGACACCGGUGGGUGCUGCACGGGGACACCUGGAGCGGUCCUGUCCCCAUGGCGGGGGGAGCGGUGACAGCCCUGCGGGGCUGGCUCAGGGGGCCGGGGAUGCUCCGUGCCCCGUGGGAGCAGGACGGAUCAGCACGGAGGAGAACCAGCCAGACGCCGCUGCGAAUGUCACCUCGUCCGCAACGCCGGCUCCCGUGGCCCCCCACUCCGGCCAGAUGUGGGUCACCCCUGAGCACCCAGAGGGGCUGGGAUCCGAGGGGGACUCCGGCUUCGGCUCCGGCUCCUGGGGGACCUCUCCCAGGAGGAAGGCAGGGUACCGUGGGUGCCAUCCGGAUGACCCCCUGGACCCCGCUGGGGCACGUUCCCCCGGCUCAGAAACACCAAGAGCUGGAGGUCACCGGGCUCGGCGGAGCAGGGGCUGGCGCCGGGGGGGACCCCUGAGGGACGCCGGGUGGCAACAAGGCGACGCAUCGGGGCUGCAGACCCUUGGGAAGGGCCCCUCGCCCCACCGUCCCAGCCGGCAGGAACCUGUGGACUCCUUCGAGAUGGAGGAGGUGCUGAGCGCCAGUGAGGAGGAGGAUGAUGAUGACGGCGAUGCCCGCGAGGAAGCCGUCCGGUCCCUCCAUCCCUCCAUCGGGAUCCGAAGAAGUAAGUUGUGGGGGUUUCCCACCCUCUUGGGGGGCACCAAGGGCAGUAGUGCUGCCAGCCCAGCGGGUGCCCGGUGCCAGUGUGUGUGUCCCCCACCGUGUCCCCCCUGUCCCCCUGCUCCAGGCUUCAUGCUGCACACCAGCAGCGGGCAGUCCGACAGCAGCGGCUUCGUGGAGGAGCCGGUGUCCGGCCAGCCGCCUGCUGCCCGGCUCCAUGGCACUGACCAGACGGCCUGAGGCCACCGCAGAGGGACCUGAGUUUGUCCCGGCUCCGGCAGGAGCCACGGCUGCGUGCCGGAUGGACCGUGCCGUACCGCUGCGUUUCGGACACAGAGACCAUCCUCAGCUGAGGGCUGAGCACUGCGUGUACACGUGUGGGUGUGCGUGCACGUGUGGGUGUGUGGGUGCACAUGUGGGUGUUUGGCACAGAAAACCUUUUGACUCAGGACUUUUGCCCCAAGGGGCACAUGCGUCCCCCCUCCACCCAGCCUGCCGGCGCUGGGGCUGCGGCUGCACCGGAGAAGCGCCGGGGACAUCUCGCCCGUGCCUUGCUCUUGGGGACAUCGCUCGCACUUUGGUCACGGUCGGUCGCUCGUGCUGCAGUGCCUGUAACACUAGGACGGGGGUUUGCUGGGCAGAGCCAGCAGCACGCUGGAAAUAAAGUUCCCAA